UAGGGAAUCUUCGGCAAUGGACGAAAGUCUGACCGAGCAACGCCGCGUGAGUGAAGAAGGUUUUCGGAUCGUAAAACUCUGUUGUUAGAGAAGAACAAGGACGUUAGUAACGGAACGUCCCCUGACGGUAUCUAACCAGAAAGCCACGGCUAACUACGUGCCAGCAGCCGCGGUAAUACGGAGGUGGCAAGCGUUGUCCGGAUUUAUUGGGCGUAAAGCGAGCGCAGGCGGUUUCUUAAGUCUGAUGUGAAAGCCCCCGGCUCAACCGGGGAGGGUCAUUGGAAACUGGGAGACUUGAGUGCAGAAGAGGGGAGUGGAAUUCCAUGUGUAGCGGUGAAAUGCGUAGAUAUAUGGAGGAACACCAGUGGCGAAGGCGGCUCUCUGGUCUGUAACUGACGCUGAGGCUCGAAAGCGUGGGGAGCAAACAGG
rnacentral:rRNA from 1 species